CACAAGACCAAAAAUUACACUCAGUAUGAGAGUUUUAAAACUUUGGAAUUGAAUGAGAAUUUGUUUUCCUCCCCUGAGUUCUGGAGUUCUUUCAACCCCCUUUGUCAUGGAAUUGUUGAUGUUCCAUAUAAGAUAAAAGCGAAACACAAGGGGGGUGGGAAAGCACAGAGUAGCGAAAAAGGGAAACAAGGUAUUUCCGCACAGGCAACCAAUAAGGUGUCAGGAUUGAAACCACGUCGAGCACCACUGUAUCAAAAUUGUGUGAUUGAAGCACCGGAUGGGGAAAUGUUGAGUACAUGCGAUAAAAGAAAGGCUGAGUGGUAUCUCUGUAGAAAGUUAG
rnacentral:lncRNA from 1 species